rnacentral:misc_RNA from 1 species
AAGCAGGUAGUUGGAUUCUAAAUUUCAUCAAUAUUGAUACAGUUGGUGUCUAACUUGUUUCCUUAAUUUUCUCCCAAACUAGGGAUAACGGGAAUUUAAUGUUCAUCCAUGUGACUAUGCAUGUGUUAAUGACAAUGAGAACCCAACUACUGUAUCCUGUACUUGCAUACACUUGGUUGAAAUUGAAUUGUUCCUAAUCCAAUGAAUUAAUUG